rnacentral:rRNA from 1 species
GAUGAACGCUGGCGGCGUGCCUAAUACAUGCAAGUCGAGCGAACAGACGAGGAGCUUGCUCCUCUGACGUUAGCGGCGGACGGGUGAGUAACACGUGGAUAACCUACCUAUAAGACUGGGAUAACUUCGGGAAACCGGAGCUAAUACCGGAUAAUAUAUUGAACCGCAUGGUUCAAUAGUGAAAGACGGUUUUGCUGUCACUUAUAGAUGGAUCCGCGCCGCAUUAGCUAUUUGGUAAGGUAACGGCUUACCAAGGCAACGAUGCGUAGCCGACCUGAGAGGGUGACCGGCCACACUGGAACUGAGACACGGUCCAGACUCCUACGGGAGGCAGCAGUAGGGAAUCUUCCGCAAUGGGCGAAAGCCUGACGGAGCAACGCCGCGUGAGUGAUGAAGGUCUUCGGAUCGUAAAACUCUGUUAUUAGGGAAGACCAAAUGUGUAAGUAACUAUGCACGUCUUGACGGUACCUAAUCAGAAAGCCACGGCUAACUACGUG